rnacentral:rRNA from 1 species
AUAGGGGGCAAGCGUUAUCCGGAAUUAUUGGGCGUAAAGGGUGCGUAGGCGGUUAUUUAAGUCUUUGGUGUAAGUGCAAGGCUCAACCUUGUGAUGCUAAGGAAACUGGAUAACUUGAGUGUGAUAGAGGUAAGUGGAAUUCCAUGUGUAGCGGUAAAAUGCGUAAAUAUAUGGAGGAACACCAGUGGCGAAGGCGGCUUACUGGGUCACAACUGACGCUGAGGCACGAAAGCGUGGGGAGCAAACAGGAUUAGAUACCCUGGUAGUCCACGCCGUAAACGAUGAGUACUAAGUGUUGGAGAAAUUCAGUGCUGUAGUUAACGCAAUAAGUACUCCGCCUGAGUAGUACGUGCGCAAGCAUGAAACUCAAAGGAAUUGACGGGACCCCGCACAAGCGGUGGAUCAUGUUGUUUAAUUCGAUGAUACGCGAAGAACCUUACCAGGUCUUGACAUCCCAUGCAAAGCUUAAGAGAUUAAGUGGAGGUUAUCAUGGAGACAGGUGGUGCAUGGUUGUCGUCAGCUCGUGUCGUGAGAUGUUGGGUUAAGUCCCGCAACGAGCGCAACCCUUAUUGCUAGUUACCAUCAUUAAGUUGGGGACUCUAGCGAGACUGCCAGUGAUAAACUGGAGGAAGGUGGGGAUGACGUCAAAUCAUCAUGCCCCUUAUGACCUGGGCUACAAACGUGAUACAAUGGCUGAAACAAAGGGCAGCGAAGCAGUGAUGUGAAGCGAAACCCAAAAAAGCAGUCUCAGUUCGGAUUGAAGUCUGCAACUCGACUUCAUGAAGUCGGAAUCGCUAGUAAUCGCGAAUCAGAAUGUCGCGGUGAAUACGUUCUCGGGGUUU